rnacentral:rRNA from 1 species
AGUGAACGCUGGCGGUAGGCCUAACACAUGCCAGUCGAACGGCAGCACAGUAAGAGCUUGCUCUUACGGGUGGCGAGUGGCGGACGGGUGAGGAAUACAUCGGAAUCUACUUUUUCGUGGGGGAUAACGUAGGGAAACUUACGCUAAUACCGCAUACGACCUACGGGUGAAAGCAGGGGAUCUUCGGACCUUGCGCGAUUGAAUGAGCCGAUGUCGGAUUAGCUAGUUGGCGGGGUAAAGGCCCACCAAGGCGACGAUCCGUAGCUGGUCUGAGAGGAUGGUCAGCCACACUGGAACUGAGACACGGUCCAGACUCCUACGGGAGGCAGCAGUGGGGAAUAUUGGACAGUGGGCGCAAGCCUGAUCCAGCCAUACCGCGUGGGUGAAGAAGGCCUUCGGGUUGUAAAGCCCUUUUGUUGGGAAAGAAAAGCAGCAGGUUAAUACCCCGCUGUUCUGACGGUACCCAAAGAAUAAGCACCGGCUAACUUCGUG